rnacentral:rRNA from 1 species
UACGUGGGGCGCAAGCGUUGUUCGGAUUUACUGGGCGUAAAGGGCGCGUAGGCGGCCACGACAAGUCACUUGUGAAAUCUCCGGGCUUAACUCGGAACGGUCAAGUGAUACUGUCGGGCUAGAGUACAGAAGGGGCAACUGGAAUUCUCGGUGUAGCGGUGAAAUGCGUAGAUAUCGAGAGGAACACCUGCGGCGAAGGCGGGUUGCUGGGCUGAUACUGACGCUGAUGCGCGAAAGCCAGGGGAGCGAACGGG